rnacentral:lncRNA from 12 species
CCUCAUUUUAUUACCUUCCCUCCUCCCACUUCCAAGGUUACGUGUGUCGUCAGAAUGACAAGAAAAUCCUGCAGGGUCUUUAAAGCUUUUGGGAGCCCAGAGCAUUUACGUGGGAGUUGGUGAGAAUGUGGGGCCCUGACAAGUGAGGCCUUGCUCUUUUCCAGCUAUGCAUCAGAAGUUUGGAUCCUGAUCCCGAGAACUGAGGACUGCAAGUAGGGCAGGUCUGCAUGCGGAGGGGGAGCUCCAAGCAGGGAAAAUAGGCCCGUUCUGGAGACAAGAUGCUGGUGCCCCGAGGCAGGCCAACCCGGAGCAUCCUGGGAGGAUCCCAGGGAGAGAAGAUGAGAGCCCACAAAGAGAAGGCUCUUACCACUUCAAGUUGCCAUGGCUGGGAAAGGGAGUGGCAACCUGCAUGGGCACAGCCUGGAAACAUCCACCAUGGAAGGAUCCUCCCGUGGAGGAGUGUCACGUAUUGGGCUUGAAGAACUUCCUGUUGUGCUGAGAACCUCUGCUGCCAGCACCAGGGAUCCUCCAUCCCAGGAUAUCCUAAAGAUCUUGUCCUUGAGUGUUCACAAGGUAGGAGCCAAUAUUGCCACCCUAGUGUCUGUAACAUAAAGGAGUUGCAGCAGUAGGAAACAAACAAAAAUAGAGUUAAUGACCAGAGCAGCUCCUAAAGGGGCUCUGCAGGUGCUCUAGGUCCUGUUCGUUGUCAGCAGAAACAAGAGCAGAUCUGUAGUAGGGAGCAGCAGUCCCAGAUGCCACCAAGGAGGAGUGCUUGCCACCCAGGACCAGGCAGUCAUGAUGAUGAAGCAGCAUGGUUUCUUGGAGCUAAAUACCAUUGCAAUAGGUUGACACCAAGUCCUGGUUAUCUUCAAGGUUGAUGUGACCUGGAGAAAAAUGGCUUAUCCAUGAUAAAUGUAACUUAGGGCACCUGGCUCAGUUGGUUAAGCAUCUGACUCUUGGUGUCAGCUCAAGUCAUGAUCCAGUGUCGUGGGAUUGAGCCGCACAUUUGAGAUUCUCUCACUUCCUCUGCUCCUCACCCUCUCUAAAAAGUGUGAUUCCUGUGUAAUUUAUAUUCAUAUUCAUAUAUAUGUGACUAUGUCAUGAGAGAACAACCACUAUGGACUAUAUGGAGAGAAAAAUUCUGUGACUGGGCAAAAAUAGCAUGUGUUUGCCCCUGUGUGUAUGAGUGUGUGCCAUUGUGAACUUGCACGUUGCCAAUAUCUAGCUCUUAUCAUAGCUCAAGACAGUUCUAUGAUUUGUGUUUUCUUUCUGCCUUUUCCAAGAUACAUAGCUGGCCACCAGGAAAGAGGUCAGAGUCCCUGAGUGCCCUUUAGCCUGAGUUGAGCUGUCUCUACCAAGCUGUCACAUUCAUUCAUCUUCAGACUCCCCCACAAUAUGCUGUGCUCACCCUCAAUCCAGAUUGCUAAAAUGGCAGCAUCGCAUGGCCAUGGAGCUCCAGUGUUUCACCAGCAAUACAGGGAACAUUUUUCCCCCUCGAUCAAAUGAGAUUCAGUUACAUGUGAAGGAAAACCAGCAUCGGCAGCUGGUGUCAUUUAAUAAAACCUAAAGUUACAAGUGUCCUGAAUAGUUC